UCUCUAACCUUCCUUCUUCAAUUGAGCACCAUGCCUGGUUUAGACUUGAAUGGGAAAGAGAUUGAGGAAUUUCAGGGAGACACAUGAUUUGAACUACUAUGAUUAUGGUUGGGACUCCGGCAACGAAGGUUCAUUUGGAAAGGGAAGUAUGAUGCUUUGAUUCUCCAACAUGAACAAAACGGACGACAUGAGUGGCCUAUCGUUGGGGUUGUCCUGCACACACAAGAGUCCGAUAUGGAUGCAAAGCAAAGCUUCAUCUGGUGUACAGCUAUUGAUAAUACUUGAGUCCACCAAAUCAUUUGCUUUCCCUUCCUUCAACAGAUUCCAUGCAUGAAAUAAAUUGAAUCAAUAGUUGAGUGAGGUUGUGAGA